CGCCUCUCACGGUCUGUACGGCUCCGGGUCUUCAGGCAAUUUGCCUGUUGGGUGACGGCUCCUACAAGCAGUGCUGAGGGACUGGAGGGUGUCAGGGAGGAAUUUCUACUUGAAAAUGAUCUUCGAUCCCAUGUUUAAAGAUAGAUAUUCUUUGAGGACCAAGCAAUCACUGAUCCCAUGAAACCACUCAUCUGCUCUCUGUUGCUCUAAGAUAAGUUUGCAUGACCUAGAAUUUCAUGUAAAUGGCAUCAUACAGUUCUCCUGGAUCAGCUCCACUUCUUUUCAGAGCAGGAUAUUGGCAGUGAUGUGUGGGAAUCUAGUAUUUCUGCAGUACUCUCGCAAUUGGUUCCCAUGAAAGAAGAGGAUUUGGACAAGCUUUUUCAAACAACUGAUACACUGCUUCUUUUUUUUUUUUUUUUUUUUUUUUGCCUGAGCAGAAAAUUUAUUUGGCCAUUUCUACUCUUCUUUCCACCCUCCUCCUUCUUCUGCCCUGUCUCCCCUCCUCCCCACCACUUAAAUAAAUGUGAUUUGAACUCAAAAUA